rnacentral:rRNA from 1 species
AAUAUUUCACAAUGGAGGGAACUCUGAUUCAGCAACGCCGCGUGAGUGAAGAAGGGUUUCGGAUCGUAUAACUCUGUCAUUGUGGAAGAAUAAAUGACGGUACCCAAUGAGAAAGCCCCGGCUAACUACCUGCCAGCAGCCGCGGUAAUACGUAGGGGGCGAGCGUUGUCCGGAAUUACUGGGCGUAAAGGGUACGUAGGCGGUUAUAUAAGUCAGGUGUGAAAUACCAGUGCUUAACACUGGAAUUGCAUUUGAAACUGUGUAGAUUGAGUGCAGGAGAGGAAAGUGGAAUUCCUAGUGUAGCGGUGAAAUGCGUAGAGAUUAGGAGGAACACCAGUGGCGAAGGCGAAUUUCUGGACUGUAACUGACGCUGAGGUACGAAAGCGUGGGUAGAGAAAA